GGCAGCCUCUCCCUCCUGGACAGCCGGGGUGAAGAGGGGAAAGCAAGCCAGACACUAAUAGAAAAUCCCUCGGGGCUGCAUUUGCAAAGGGGUCGAGGGAAGUGGGUCAGGAGAAAGGCACUGCUGCCCCCCGUUGAGUCAUUGUGGCAAAAAUAGCUCUGAGGAGCCUGCUUUCAUCGCCAGGCACCUGCCUGUUCAUUCAGACACUAAACCACAGGUCCAAGGAAGCGCCUGGAAAUGAGAUACUGCUGAGUCCACAGGAGACAUCAAAUUGUGAGUCAACCGAGAAUGCUCUCAAAGCUGCCAGCUGUGACUCUGCAGGGUUGCUGUUGGUUUUUUUUUUUUUUAAUUAUUAUUAUUGUAUUGUUUUUUCUUUGCCUCCUUGUGAGAUGGUGUGUUGUGUUGGUUUGCAAGGUGACUGCACCAUAAGUGAAAUUUGAGGCCAAAGGACUCAAAGGCCAAAUAAGGAAACAAACAAACAAACAAAAAUCAAGCCAAAUCAAAUGGGAAUUAUCUUGUCCAUUGAGAAAACUUCUAGAAGAUUCUUGUUCCACCAGAAGAACUCCUUUCCUAUUGGCUACUCCCGAUAAAGAAUGUCACCAACAGCUGCUCGAACAGCGUGAGAGAAAUGAUGGCGAGGCUCCAGGGCUGGAAGAGCAACAGGAUGGAAGGAACCUGGAAAGCUGGAUGACAUCGUGGAAAGGAGGCACCUGCUACACCGGGCCACGCCCUUCUGCGCCCUUGGAAGUCAGAGAAACAAAGGCGGACAGUCUGGGUGCUUUUGUAGUGUGUGGCCGCUCUGCCUGCAUCUCAGCUAAGCCAGAGACCAGUGAGAACCACCCUAGAGAACUCUGCUCUCUUCUGGGGGACUGAAAACAAUGGACAGUCCUAUGUCGGUUGGGCGCCUAUGAUCUGGGGACUCUGCCCACGACUUGAUCGGUCUCUAAAACUGUGUGACACACUCCUGUUUUCUACAAAAGCGGUUCAGACCCUUGUGCCUUCCUCCCUCUUCCUAUAACUAUACCAAAGUUACACUAGAUAAUUCUUAAAAUACUUUAAGUAUAAAUAAUAAAAGACUCUCCAAGAGAGAUCUGAGGACCGCU
rnacentral:lncRNA from 12 species